rnacentral:tmRNA from 1 species
GGGGGCGUAAAGGUUUCGACGGGGAUCAUGAGGAUCAAGGCAGCGAGCGGCGGCCCCUGACCGCCAUAAAACGGGGAAAAACAAUAAUUGCGAACGAAGACAACUUUGUUCCGGUAGCCGCUUAAGGCUACCCGUCGGACCCGAGCCUCCCGCGGCGCGGCAAUCCGGCGUCAUUAAGGCGGGGUACCAGCCCAGAUAAGCUUUGCCAUGGGUGGGAUUUAAUGAAGCUACUGAAACCAUAAGCCCGUUCGUGGGCGUGUGGCGGAGGGAAUGUUAAAACGCGAACUGCGCUCGGAGAUACAUUGGUUCUCGGGUUUUCGGACAGGAGUUCGAUUCUCCUCGCCUCCACCA